rnacentral:rRNA from 1 species
UACGAAGGGUGCGAGCGUUAUUCGGAAUCACUGGGCGUAAAGGGUGCGUAGACGGUACGUUAAGUUUGUUGUUAAAGACUCUAGCCUAACUGGAGGGUUGCAAUGAAAACUGGCGAGCUGGAGGGUGAGAGAGAGAAGUGGAAUUCCCGGAGUAGCGGUAAAAUGCGUGGAUCUCGGGAGGAACACCAAUGGCGAAGGCAGCUUCUUGGCUCAUUCCUGACGUUGAGGCACGAAAGCGUGGGGAGCAAACAGG